UCCCAACUCUGGUGCUGGAGUAAUGG
rnacentral:piRNA from 1 species